AUACGAAGGGGGCUAGCGUUGUUCGGAAUUACUGGGCGUAAAGCGCGCGCAGGCGGUUUUCCAAGUCAGUGGUGAAAGCCCAGAGCUCAACUCUGGAACUGCCAUUGAAACUAGAAAACUAGGGUACGGGAGAGGUGAGUGGAAUUCCGAGUGUAGAGGUGAAAUUCGUAGAUAUUCGGAAGAACACCAGUGGCGAAGGCGGCUCACUGGCCCGUUACCGACGCUCAGGCGCGACAGCGUGGGGAGCAAACAGGAUUAGAAACCCGAGUAGUCC
rnacentral:rRNA from 1 species